CCCAGCACAAACAGCUGCGAGGAAGGCCAGGUUUGGUUUUGCUGAACUUGCUGUUCCAGAAGAGCACACGAUUCUCGGGACAACCUUAACUCUGUGUCAACAAAAUUUAAUAUCAUUUCUGAAUCUUCCACCUUUUCCUCUUUGCAGUUGGUGAAUGGGAUCGGCAUAUGGGGAAUGCAGCUUCUGAAAUCUACCUCCAAAAUUCUUCCCACCUAAGUCCUUCUGCACCAGAUCCGGGCGUGCUCCAAGCCCCCAUUCCUGAGCCAGCUGGAGGGAGAAAAGGGAUCAGGAGCAGCAUGGCAUGAGGAACAGAUAACCC